UACAUAGGUCCCAAGCGUUGUUCGGAUUCAUUGGGCGUAAAGGGUGCGUAGGUGGCGCCGUAAGUCGGGUGUGAAAUUUCGGAGCUUAACUCCGAAACUGCAUUCGAUACUGCGGUGCUUGAGGACUGGAGAGGAGACUGGAAUUCAUGGUGUAGCAGUGAAAUGCGUAGAGAUCAUGAGGAAGACCAGUGGCGAAGGCGGGUCUCUGGACAGUUCCUGACACUGAGGCACGAAGGCCAGGGGAGCAAACGGG
rnacentral:rRNA from 1 species